rnacentral:snoRNA from 13 species
AAGCUAUGAGGAUAUCUGUGCUCAUGUGAUGAUAGGGUCUAUCACUACCGUCUGAUCUGCGGACGAAUUCGAGUGCAUCUGAGCUU